UACGUAGGGUCCGAGCGUUUGUCCGGAAUUACUGGGCGUAAAGAGCUCGUAGGUGGUUUGUCGCGUUGUUCGUGAAAACCGGGGGCUUAACCCUCGGCGUGCGGGCGAUACGGGCAGACUUGAGUACUGCAGGGGAGACCGGAAUUCCUGGUGUAGCGGUGGAAGUGCGCAGAUAUCAGGAGGAACACCGGUGGCGAAGGCGGGUCUCUGGGCAGUAACUGACGCUGAGGAGCGAAAGCGUGGGGGAGCGAACAGG
rnacentral:rRNA from 1 species